UGUGGUAUUUAUAAAGCAAAGGAAACACCUCUUCCCAUUCCGAACAGAGAAGUUAAGCUUUGCAUUGCCAAUGGUACUGUUAUUAUAAUGGGAGAGUAGGUUAAUACCUUGC
rnacentral:rRNA from 1 species